rnacentral:rRNA from 1 species
AGGAAGUAAAAGUCGUAACAAGGUUUUCCGUAGGGUGAACCUGCGGGAAGGAUCAUUACCGAGUUGAUUCGAGCUCCGGCUCGACUCUCCCACCCAAUGUGUACCUACCUCUGUUGCUUUGGCGGGCCGCGGUCCUCCGCACCGGCGCCCUUCGGGGGGGCUGGCCAGCGCCCGCCAGAGGACCCAUAAAACUCCAGUCAGUGAACUUCGCAGUCUGAAAAACAAGUUAAUAAACUAAAACUUUCAACAACGGAUCUCUUGGUUCUGGCAUCGAUGAAGAACGCAGCGAAAUGCGAUAAGUAAUGUGAAUUGCAGAAUUCAGUGAAUCAUCGAAUCUUUGAACGCACAUUGCGCCCCUUGGUAUUCCGAGGGGCAUGCCUGUUCGAGCGUCAUUUCAACCCUCAAGCUCUGCUUGGUAUUGGGCUCCGUCCUCCACGGACGCGCCUUAAAGACCUCGGCGGUGGCGUCUUGCCUCAAGCGUAGUAGAAAACACCUCGCUUUGGAGCGCACGGCGUCGCCCGCCGGACGAACCUUUUGAAUUAUUUCUCAAGGUUGACCUCGGAUCAGGUAGGGAUACCCGCUGAACUUAAGCAUAUCAAUAACGGAAGGGAAGGGCGGGAAAGGAAAGGUAACGGGCAAGUGUUGCGCAUUCUUUCGGAGUUUUCGGGAAAGCACGGGUCAGGCGGCCCGGGUUCCAUCCGUCCGGUUCAACUUCCGUCCCAUAUUCACGUCACUUUUCCGCCGGGUCUGACCACCUGUUGGUUACCCGAACGUUUUUA